rnacentral:rRNA from 1 species
AGAGUUUGAUCCUGGCUCAGGAUGAACGCUAGCGGCAGGCCUAACACAUGCAAGUCGAGGGGUAACGAUGGCUUCGGCCAGGCGACGACCGGCGCACGGGUGAGUAUCGCGUUUGUAACCUACCUCUAACUGGAAGAUAGCCCGAAGAAAUUCGGAUUAAUAUUCCAUAAUACUAUGAACUGGCAUCUUUUUAUAGUUAAAGCUCCGGCGGUUAGAGAUGGGCAUGCGUGACAUUAGUUUGUUGGUGAGGUAACGGCUCACCAAGACUACGAUGUCUAGGGGGUCUGAGAGGAUGGUCCCCCACACUGGUACUGAGACACGGACCAGACUCCUACGGGAGGCAGCAGUGAGGAAUAUUGGUCAAUGGGCGCAAGCCUGAACCAGCCAUGCCGCGUGAAGGAUGACGGCGCUACGCGUUGUAAACUUCUUUUGUACAGGAAGAAACACUCUGACGUGUCAGAGCUUGACGGUACUGUACGAAUAAGCAUCGGCUAACUCCGUGCCAGCAGCCGCGGUAAUACGGAGGAUGCAAGCGUUAUCCGGAUUUAUUGGGUUUAAAGGGUACGUAGGCGGAAAAUUAAGUCAGUGGUGAAAUCCUGCAGCUUAACUGUAGAACUGUCAUUGAUACUGGUUUUCUUGAAUGUAGUUGAGGUAGGCGGAAUGUGUAAUGUAGCGGUGAAAUGCUUAGAUAUUACACAGAACACCGAUUGCGAAGGCAGCUUACUAAGCUACGAUUGACGCUGAGGUACGAAAGCGUGGGGAGCGAACAGGAUUAGAUACCCUGGUAGUCCACGCUGUAAACGAUGAUCACUCGUUGUUGGCGAUACAUUGUCAGCGACUGAGCGAAAGCAUUAAGUGAUCCACCUGGGGAGUACGAUCGCAAGAUUGAAACUCAAAGGAAUUGACGGGGGCCCGCACAAGCGGAGGAACAUGUGGUUUAAUUCGAUGAUACGCGAGGAACCUUACCUGGGCUUAAAUGUAGAACGACGGAUCGGGAAACUGAUCUUUCUUCGGACGGACUGCAAGGUGCUGCAUGGCUGUCGUCAGCUCGUGCCGUGAGGUGUCGGGUUAAGUCCCAUAACGAGCGCAACCCUCAUCAUUAGUUGCCAGCGGGUAAUGCCGGGGACUCUAGCGGGACUGCCGGUGUUAAACCGGAGGAAGGCGGGGAUGACGUCAAGUCCUCAUGGCCUUUAUGCCCAGGGCUUCACACGUGCUACAAUGGCAGGUACAGAGCGACGCGAUACCGCGAGGUGGAGCAAAUCGCAAAAAACCUGCCCCAGUUCAGAUUGCAGGCUGGCAACUCGCCUGCAUGAAGUUGGAAUCGCUAGUAAUCGCGUAUCAGCGAUGACGCGGUGAAUGUGUUCCUGAGCCUUGUACACACCGCCCGUCAAGUGAUGGAAGCUGGGAGUACCCGAAGUCGGAUUGCUAACUUUCGAGAGGCGUCUGCCGACGGUAAGCUCGGUGACUGGCACUAAGUCGUAACAAGGUAACC